rnacentral:lncRNA from 14 species
AUUUGUCAUAGAGACAAAGGGAAAAGUGCUACUUUUGCAUCGAUAAAAUGUGUGUGAUGGCAGUUCUCUGCUUGACAGAGAAGUGGCAAUAAAAGCAGUAGGAGCUGUGACUGGGACUCUACCUGACAGAGACAGAGUUCAAGGGUGUGGCAAAUUGCCUGAGAAAAGAAAACACACACACACACACACGGAGACAAGAUGACAAUGUUCUCAUUGGACCAUCACAAACAUUAAUUAAUUUUGGAGAGGAAGGUGUUUGGAAAAAAAUGGCUCUAUCUUCUCAGAAUACAGGCUAUAUUCCACAGCUUUGAAGAAAGAAGAACAAAGAGAGGAUGCCGUGAAGAGAGCUUUCCAAUUUCUUCUUGAGCUAUUUGGCUUCACAGCUAUUGAAUGGUGCCCUUCUUAAACUGCAAAUAUUCUGAACUGGGGAUUCCUUCAUCACUAUAUUUUUUUCAUGAGUUUCUUCAAAUCUUCUUGACCUUCUUUUAGAAAAUUUGAAAACAGCAUCCUUUAGUAUGGUUUCUAGACUAACCUUUCCAAAUGAAGGGAGAAAUUUCAGUUUAUUGGAAAUAAAUUCAGGAAGGUAUUUUGCUGAGAUUUCA